rnacentral:rRNA from 1 species
GACGAACCGUGCGAACGUUAUUCGGAAUCAUUGGGCUUAAAGCGCGUGUAGGCGGGUUCGUGCGUCCGACGCUGAAAUCCCCCGGCUCAACCGGGGAACGGGCGGGGAUACGACGAGCCUGGAGGGGCGUAGGGGGACCUGGAACUUCCGGUGGAGCGGUGAAAUGCGUUGAGAUCGGAAGGAACGCCCGUGGCGAAAGCGAGGUCCUGGACGCCUACUGACGCUGAGACGCGAAAGCCAGGGGAGCGAACGGG